AACGAACGCUGGCGGCAGGCUUAACGCAUGCAAGUCGAACGCCCUAGCAAUAGGGAGUGGCGCACGGGUGAGUAACGCGUGGGAAUGUACCGUUUAGUGGGGGAUAACCAAGGGAAACUUUGGCUAAUACCGCAUACGCCCUUCGGGGGAAAGAUUUAUCGCUAAACGAUGAGCCCGCGUGAGAUUAGGUAGUUGGUGGGGUAACGGCCUACCAAGCCGACGAUCUCUAGCUGGUCUGAGAGGAUGAUCAGCCACACUGGAACUGAGACACGGUCCAGACUCCUACGGGAGGCAGCAGGGGGGAAUAGUGGACAAUGGGGGCAACCCUGAUCCAGCCAUGCCGCGUGAGUGAUGAAGGCCUUAGGGUUGUAAAGCUCUUUUACCGAUGAAGAUAAUGACGGUAGUCGGAGAAAAGGCCCCGGCUAACUUCGUGCCAGCAGCCGCGGUAA
rnacentral:rRNA from 1 species